UACAGAGGUCCCAAGCGUUGUUCGGAUUCACUGGGCGUAAAGGGUGCGUAGGUGGUGAGGUAAGUCGGAUGUGAAAGCUCCGAGCUCAACUCGGAAAUGGCAUUGGAAACUACCUUGCUAGAGGGUUUGAGAGGGGACUGGAAUACUUGGUGUAGCAGUGAAAUGCGUAGAUAUCAAGUGGAACACCAGUGGCGAAGGCGAGUCCCUGGAAAACUCCUGACACUGAGGCACGAAAGCUAGGGGAGCAAACAGG
rnacentral:rRNA from 1 species